UAGACCGCCUGGGGAGUACGGCCGCAAGGUUAAAACUCAAAUGAAUUGACGGGGGCCCGCACAAGCGGUGGAGCAUGUGGUUUAAUUCGAUGCAACGCGAAGAACCUUACCUGGUCUUGACAUCCACAGAAGUUUCCAGAGAUGGAUUUGUGCCUUCGGGAACCGUGAGACAGGUGCUGCAUGGCUGUCGUCAGCUCGUGUUGUGAAAUGUUGGGUUAAGUCCCGCAACGAGCGCAACCCUUAUCCUUUGUUGCCAGCGGUUAGGCCGGGAACUCAAAGGAGACUGCCAGUGAUAAACUGGAGGAAGGUGGGGAUGACGUCAAGUCAUCAUGGCCCUUACGACCAGGGCUACACACGUGCUACAAUGGCGCAUACAAAGAGAAGCGACCUCGCGAGAGCAAGCGGACCUCAUAAAGUGCGUCGUAGUCCGGAUUGGAGUCUGCAACUCGACUCCAUGAAGUCGGAAUCGCUAGUAAUCGUGGAUCAGAAUGCCACGGUGAAUACGUUCCCGGGCCUUGUACACACCGCCCGUCACACCAUGGGAGUGGGUUGCAAAAGAAGUAGGUAGCUUAACCUUCGGGAGGGCGCUUACCACUUUGUGAUUCAUGACUGGGGUGAAGUCGUAACAAGGUAACCGUAGGGGAACCUGCGGUUGGAUCACCUCCUUACCUUAAAGAAGC
rnacentral:rRNA from 1 species